AUUCAAAUGACAAGUCCCAAAUAAGACGAAACGCUCGUCUUGGAC
rnacentral:hammerhead_ribozyme from 1 species